CCGGCGCACGGGUGAGUAACACGUAUCCAACCUGCCGUCUACUCUUGGACAGCCUUCUGAAAGGAAGGUUAAUACAAGAUGGCAUCAUGAGUCCGCAUGUUCACAUGAUUAAAGGUAUUCCGGUAGACGAUGGGGAUGCGUUCCAUUAGAUAGUAGACGGGGUAACGGCCCACCUAGUCUUCGAUGGAUAGGGGUUCUGAGAGGAAGGUCCCCCACAUUGGAACUGAGACACGGUCCAA
rnacentral:rRNA from 1 species